rnacentral:rRNA from 2 species
UGGGGAAUUUUGGACAAUGGGCGAAAGCCUGAUCCAGCCAUACCGCGUGCGGGAAGAAGGCCUUCGGGUUGUAAACCGCUUUUGUCAGGGAAGAAAUCUUCUGGGCUAAUACCUCGGGAGGAUGACGGUACCUGAAGAAUAAGCACCGGCUAACUACGUGCCAGCAGCCGCGGUAAUACGUAGGGUGCAAGCGUUAAUCGGAAUUACUGGGCGUAAAGCGUGCGCAGGCGGUUCCAUAAGACAGAUGUGAAAUCCCCGGGCUCAACCUGGGAACUGCAUUUGUGACUGUGGAGCUAGAGUACGGUAGAGGGGGAUGGAAUUCCGCGUGUAGCAGUGAAAUGCGUAGAUAUGCGGAGGAACACCAAUGGCGAAGGCAAUCCCCUGGACCUGUACUGACGCUCAUGCACGAAAGCGUGGGGAGCAAACA